AUUAGCCCGCCCCCCGGUGGAGGGAAUCAGGAAGCGGCUGCGGCCCAAGCGCCUCCCGCGGGACGAAGCUCGGGAACUGCUGGACGCGGGGAAGGGUGUCGCUGAGCUCGGGAGCCGCAGAAAUGAAACGCUUCCUGAGGUCCGGUCAUGACUCUGUGCGAGAGAGACUGAAAAGGGACCUGUUCCAGUUUAACAAGACCGUCGAACAUGGAUUUCCUCACCAGCCUAGUGCCCUGGGGUUCAGCGACUCACUACGGCUCAUGGCAAUUG